AACGAACGCUGGCGGCAUGCCUAACACAUGCAAGUCGAACGAAGCCUUCGGGCUUAGUGGCGAACGGGUGAGUAACACGUAGGAAUCUACCCUUAAGACGGGGACAACCCAGGGAAACUUGGGCUAAUACCGGAUGAGAGUGCGAGAGAUUGCAUUUAAAAGGAUGGCGAAAGUUGUCGCUUAGGGAUGAGCCUGCGGUCUAUUAGUUAGUUGGUGAGGUAAGAGCUCACCAAGGCGAUGAUAGAUAGGCGGCCUUAACGGGUGGUCGCCCACACUGGGAUUGAGAUACGGCCCAGACUCCUACGGGAGGCAGCAGUCGAGAAUAGUCUACAAUGGCCGGAAGGCUGAUAGUGCGACGCCGCGUGAACGAGGGAGCCCUUCGGGGUGUAAAGUUCUUUUCUAUACGAGCAGUGCUAUAUAUAUGGAUAGUAUAUAUAGAGGGAUAGUAGUAUAGGAAUAAGCAACGGCUAACUCCGUG
rnacentral:rRNA from 1 species